CCAUGUUUUUUUGGGGGGGGGGGGGCCAAGGGCAGUACUUUUCCGACAAACCGGAAAAUAGUUUCCGACAGAAACAUCGCGAAAAUUUUUUUUAACUGAAAUUUUUUUGGACGACCCCCCCCGUCGCCAAAAAAAUUUCGGUCAGUGUACCAUUUUAGGGGUCAAAAAAUUUUUCCGGACAUACCAAAAUUUUUCGUUACAUUUUAAAAUUUUUCCGGACAUCACCAAUUUUCUCCAUUUAUCCAAAAUUUUCCGAAUAUACCAACGUCGGAAACUUUGACAAUUUCCGACAACGUUGACAAUUUUCCAAAAAUUUCCGACAACAUUCACAAUUUUCCGACGGGUCUCCACAAUAGGGGCAUGGCCCCCCCCCCCGCGCUCAUUACGAGUAACAGCAAAAUCACAACAGCCCAAUAUUUAUUGACGUUUUUAGCGCGGAUUUUGCUUUAGUAAACCUAUCUUGUAAUUACUUUUGAAAAAUAUUGUGUUUUGAGCAAAAUGAAACUACUAACGUGUACAAUUCUGAUCCACAAAUGUCUUUUGCACAUUUCUUUACAUAUCUUUCUUUGAGAACAUGCACUGAUAAAGCAUUUUUUUCAAGAUCCAGAACAACAUUACAACCCGCACGAUGUGUGAAGUAAUUAAAUCUGGAGGUGUUCGUUACCAUAGCAUGGCUGAGCCAGGUGUAGGUUCUGUUGACAGACGCAUGUGUACAAAUUGCGUUAAUGAGCAAGCUGAUUUGAUAUUCUAUACCUCUCUAACCUCUAAUAUUAAUAUUUAAA